rnacentral:rRNA from 1 species
CGGGCGGCGCGCCGGUCUAAGUCCCUUGGAACGGGGCGUUACAGAGGGUGAGAAUCCCGUAUGUGACCGGUGACCGCGCCCAUGUGAAACCCCUUCGACGAGUCGAGUUGUUUGGGAAUGCAGCUCAAAAUGGGUGGUAAAUUUCAUCUAAAGCUAAAUACCGGCCAGAGACCGAUAGCGCACAAGUAGAGUGAUCGAAAGAUGAAAAGCACUUUGGAAAGAGAGUCAAAAAGUACGUGAAAUUGUUGAAAGGGAAGCGCUUGCAACUAGACCUGCCCGCGGGUGAUCAACCGUCCUUCGGGGCGGUGCACUCGCCCGCGAUCAGGCCAGCAUCGGUUCGGGCGGUCGGAUAAAGGCCUUGGGAACGUAGCUCCUCUCGGGGAGUGUUAUAGCCCUCGGCGCAAUGCGGCCUGCCCGGACCGAGGACCGCGCUUCGGCUAGGAUGCUGGCGUAAUGGUUGUAAGCGGCCCGUCUUGAAACACGGACCAAGGAGUCGACCAACUAUGCGAGUGUUUGGGUGUCAAACCCACACGCGCAAUGAAAGUGAACAGAGGUGGGAACCCCUCUCGGGGCGCACCAUCGACCGAUCCAGAUGUCUUCGGAUGGAUUUGAGUACGAGCAUAGCCGGUCGGACCCGAAAGAUGAUGAACUAUGCCUGAAUAGGGUGAAGCCAGAGGAAACUCUGGUGGAGGCUCGCAGCG